UGUUCUGGUGACCUAGUUGUUAGAGCAUCUGCCUCGAAUGCAAGAAGUCGCUGGUUUGAACCCCAGCCCAGUCAA